rnacentral:rRNA from 1 species
AGAAUCAACGCUGGCGGCGUGCCUAACACAUGCAAGUCGAACGAGAAAGUCCGCAAGGACAAGUAAAGUGGCGACCGGGUGAGUAACACGUGACUAACCUACCUUUUAGUGGGGGAUAACUCCGGGAAACCGGGGCUAAUACCGCAUAACAUCGCAGGAUCAAAGCAGCAAUGCGCUGGAAGAGGGGGUCGCGGCUGAUUAGCUAGUUGGCGGGGUAAUGGCCCACCAAGGCGAAGAUCGGUAUCCGGCCUGAGAGGGCGCACGGACACACUGGAACUGAAACACGGUCCAGACUCCUACGGGAGGCAGCAGUGGGGAAUUUGCGCAAUGGGGGAAACCCUGACGCAGCAACGCCGCGUGGAGGAUGAAGUCCCUUGGGACGUAAACUCCUUUCGACCAAGACGAUAAUGACGGUACUGGUGGAAGAAGCACCGGCUAACUCUGUGCCAGCAGCCGC